UUGCUUGGCCCUCUGGAGUGAGUGAAGGGAGACUUUUUCAGAGAGGGGACCAGGGAGGUUUCCUACCCCCACCCCCACCCCCCAACUUUCUGAGUGGUUUCUGAGCACAGGAUUGCUGUGGGUGGGGAGGAGCCACUCCUGGAUCACAAAGCUGGUGAUGGAGAAGCGACAAGGCCCUGUCUGGUGUCUGAACACCCCUGAGGCAGGGAUCGGGGAAAUCUUCUUGCUGGGUGGAUGUUUACUAGAAGUCAAUAGUGCAGUGGGCUUCGGGUUGAUGCUAAUGAGGCCAAGGUUAUACAAGGGCCAACUGGUUUCCUUCUGUUCCCUGUGCUAUAAACCGCCUCCCGACGGCGGCCAGGCCUCUCACACAUGCAGGAAAGGGGGUAAUGAAACGGGCCGGAGGCUUCUCCCGGACAGAUGGCUCCCCAGCUGUUUUUGCCAAUGGGUAACUUUUGUCGCCACCACUCAACGUCCCCUUGAAAAGACUCUGUCCUCCAAAGCCUUUCCGCUUCAGUUCUCCUGCGAAAUGUCUCCUCAUCCACAGGGACGGCCUUCGAGACCAUUCUCAGGUAGAUCAUUUCUAACGUUCAGGAUGCCCUUUCUCGGCGUGCAGAGCCAUCUCGGUCCAAGGUGGAUGCAGAAGGGGUUGGCGCCAGCCUCCUGCCUCACCUCGGCCUUGAAGCAUCAUUCCGUCUCCUCAAGGUCCUGUGACUUCACCUUUUUCAGACUGCAGACUUACUGCCUUUGCUGUCUGUGGUGGUUUAACAACUUAGUAAAAGCUUGAAGAUGAAUCACAGCGUAAGACUCAAAGCUGAGUUGUCAUCAUGGCUAGGAAGCUGGGAGGAAGUCACAAAACCAGUGUGUGUUUGUAUGUAACCCACGAGAAUCAAUCACUUCAAGUUGAUGACUUGCUAUACCAGACUAACAGUUUCAGUCAAAAGGCUUGAACCAGUUGCUACAUGGGGACACCCAGAGAAGUUCAGCUUCUGAAAGAACGAACAUGCUUAUUUUCUUCAAGAAUAAAGGCAUCAGGGGCACCGGGGUGGCUCA
rnacentral:lncRNA from 1 species